CAGCCACAUCAUAUUGAAACACCAGUUCCUGUACAAUCACUGAAGUUAAGCAACAUUGAGACUGGUCAGUACCUAGAUGAGUGACUAUUUGGAAAUACCAGGUGCUGUAAG